GACCCUAUAGAGUUUUAUAUUUAAUAAAAUUUAUUUUUUUUAGUAUUAAUAAGUUAAAUUUUAUAGAAUAUUUGAUUGGGGUGAUUGAAAAAUUAAAUGAACUUUUUCUUUAUUUAUACAUUAAUUUAUGAAUUAUUGAUCCAUUAAUUAUGAUUAUAAGAUUAAAUUACCUUAGGGAUAACAGCGUAAUUUUUUUUGAGAGUUCAAAUCGAAAAAAAAGAUUGCGACCUCGAUGUUGGAUUAAAAUAAAUAUUUGGUGUAGAAGCUAAAUCAAUUGGGUCUGUUCGACCUUUAAAAUUUUACAUGAUCUGA
rnacentral:rRNA from 1 species